CGCGUAGGUGGUUCGAUGAGUCGGAGGUGAAAUCCCUCGGCUCAACCGAGGACCCGCGUCCGAUACUGUCGAACUUGAGUGCAGGAGAGGAGAGCGGAAUUCCCAGUGUAGCGGUGAAAUGCGUAGAUAUUGGGAGGAACACCGGUGGCGAAGGCGGCUCUCUGGACUGUUACUGACACUGAGGCGCGAAAGCUAGGGGAGCAAACGGGAUUAGAUACCCCGGUAGUCCUAGCCGUAAACGAUGGGCACUAGGUGUGGGAGGUAUCGACCCCUUCCGUGCCGCAGUUAACGCAUUAAGUGCCCCGCCUGGGGAGUACGGCCGCAAGGUUGAA
rnacentral:rRNA from 1 species